CCAAGGGCAAUCGAUUUAGCAUGCUAGUUGCACGAGUUCAGACUCGUAGCAGAUAGCUCAGUAACACGUGGCCAAACUACCCUAUGGAUCCGAAUAACCUCGGGAAACUGAGGCUAAUUCGGAAUACGAAUCCCACGCUGGAAUUGCCGGGAUUCCGAAACGUUACGGCGCCAUAGGAUGUGGCUGCGGCCGAUUAGGUAGACGGUGGGGUAACGGCCCACCGUGCCAAUAAUCGGUACGGGUUGUGAGAGCAAGAGCCCGGAGACGGUAUCUGAGACAAGAUACCGGGCCCUACGGGGCGCAGCAGGCGCGAAACCUUUACACUGCACGCGAGUGCGAUAAGGGGACUCCAAGUGCGAGGGCAUAUCGUCCUCGCUUUUCGCGACCGUAAGGUGGUCGCAGAAUAAGUGCUGGGCAAGACCGGUGCCAGCCGCCGCGGUAAUACCGGCAGCACAAGUGAUGACCGCUAUUAUUGGGCCUAAAGCGUCCGUAGCUGGCCACCCAAGUCCAUCGGGAAAUCCGCGUGCUUAACACGCGGGCGUCCGGUGGAAACUGGAUGGCUUGGGACCGGAAGACCUGAGGGGUACGUCCGGGGUAGGAGUGAAAUCCCGUAAUCCUGGACGGACCACCGGUGGCGAAAGCGCCUCAGGAAGACGGAUCCGACGGUGAGGGACGAAAGCUCGGGUCACGAACCGGAUUAGAUACCCGGGUAGUCCGAGCUGUAAACGAUGUCUGCUAGGUGUGACACAGGCUACGAGCCUGUGUUGUGCCGUAGGGAAGCCGUGAAGCAGACCGCCUGGGAAGUACGUCCGCAAGGAUGAAACUUAAAGGAAUUGGCGGGGGAGCACUA
rnacentral:rRNA from 1 species